GAACCCCUGAGAUCUGCAGAUCUAACUGAAGAACUGACGAUACCUGCUGUGGUGACUCUAAAGGAAACAGCUGAAAGAAGAAGAAAAAGAGUAGAUAUGUACAGGUUCAAUAACAACCAAAGAAGUAAUCUUUAAAGACCUGCUUUUUUUCCACUUCUUGCUCAAAACCUUUUGUCCAAACCACUUAUCGUCGCUGUCAUAAUGAAAGACUUCUUCACACCUUAAUACACAAGAUUUCUAAAGCUAAUAAUCUUGCUUCCUUUUUCCAUCAUGUGCUCUUGAAACUACGUGUUAGAAAAGGAAGCCCAACCUUAAAUUGAUGCCUAGCAGUGACUUCCACUCCCUCAUUCAUGAAACGUUUACUGGACAUGGGGCUGCCUGAGGGCAAUUCUGUGCAAUAAAAGGUCUGAAAACCAACCACUACUGUAGGCCCAUGAUGCCACCAGGGGCCACAACCAGCCUGCCAAAGCAUUCAGUUCAGCUCACUGGAUGG